UGAAGUGGCUAAACCCAGUGAAUCCAAAUGCUGAAUAUCAAUAAAAAGAAACAUUAUUUUUGAAAUCUCUUCAGGUGCUCUCCCUAUUAAGCAUUCCUGUUACAUGUUGAAACUUUCUGGUAAAACGUCUGUGCUACUGGAUUCUGUGACAUCUUUAAGGGAAGAGACUCUAUAGAAACAUUACAAGCCAGAAGGGAUUAAACUAUACUUACAGGCCAAAAAAUUGUGUCUGAGAUGAUCAUCUGAUGGUUUGGAGGCUGUCACUGAGUGAAUAAUAGUUUGAAUGGCUUGCAACGUAUGUAAAUCUUCAGAAUGGCCAAGAACUGUGCUAAGAUUUGAAUCAAGUUGAUAGAAACUAUGUAAAAUAAAAACAAAAAGUCAGUA